CCUCGCGCUGGCGCGGCGCGCGCGGCCUGUUGCUCAAACAGGCCGGUUUGGUGAUCCUGCAAAGCGCGGCGAUCCUGGCCGCCCUGGGGAGC
rnacentral:tRNA from 1 species